rnacentral:lncRNA from 1 species
AAUCAAACUUAAGAAACUUGGUGGGCAAGCAAGUGAUGAGAUCAUGAUUUACUUGCACGGGUCUUGACGGCGGUGACUUGCGGCGACUAAGUCAAUGACGGCAUGUCUCUCCGGUGGGCUGCAACAACCCAACGUCAAGAGGUGGUGAUGGGACGGUGGCACCAAAGUCACGGUUGUGUGUCCGACGUGACGAGGUGGCUAGGACGACAAGCAAGACAGUGACCUCGAGGCAAUGAUUCCAUCCUUUGAUCAACAUCAAUAUCAACAUCAAGAGAAGAAUAAAAUGGAGAGAAGGGAACAUGGAGAUCAUGAAUUAGGAAGAAGAAGAAGAAGGUGGUGUGGAGAAGAGUGCUGGCGGCUCACGUUUAGGAAGAAUAAGACAAUUAUAUAGUUAGGUAAAAUAAUUGGUUUACUAAGGGUUUUGUUCAAGAAAUAAUUAAAACUAAACCAAACCAUUAUUUAUUAAAACCGGAUUAUCGGGUCACGGUCGUUACAAUUCUUCCCCACUUAACCGGAAUUCGCCCCGAAUUCCAUGAAGAACCGGGAAAGAACUUCAACGGCUAUGAAAGAAAGAAGAACACAAGAUAAAGCAAACAACAAAACAAAUUGAAACUUGGUAUUCUCUUGCAAAAAUAAAAGAGUUAGUAACGCUAACAACUAACCAAAUGAUACUGGACAAAAGGGUGUCACCUUUUUUUUUUUUUUUUUUUAACUCUCAAUCCCAAAACAUUGAAAAUUGUUGAAAUCCGAGUCCCAUAAAUCGCCAUCCCGGGUCAGAGCCGGGACGGAACCCCGCUCUGAUACCAAAUUGUAACACCCGUAUUUUCCAAAAUAAAAUAAACAAAUAAAAUUCUGAAAUCUCCAUUUAUUACUUCUCAAAAGUUCAACUCCAAAGUCGUAAAUCCAAUAAAUAGCCAUAAAUCCAAAUAACAUAAUAAAUCUCGAGAAUAUCGAUAAAAGCAUAAAAUCCGCAAGUUUGAAAAAGAAAGAAAUAAAACUCCCAAAGCACCAAUCCGAUAGUAAUCACUCCUGCCCGUCGGUCUCACCUGAAAGGGGGGAGAAAGAGGGGUGAGUAACAGGGGAGUUACUCCGUGAGGUAUGAGAUGCUAAACCACAAACCACUGACUCAGUACAUAGCACUACGACUAUGUAGGCCUAGCUCUAGCAUGAAACAAACACGGUGUCUAAUACACCACAUAAAACAUCAAAUGCGCUGAUAGUGCAUAACUAGAUCACACACCCCGCAUUCUCCUUAUACGGAUAUAAAUAUAUAACUCUAUGCGCCGCUAGUACAAGAGUCCAUCCUUGUACCCCGCAAUCACCUAUGCGCCGCUAGUACAAACGUCUUUGUACCCUGCAAUCCCUCAUACAAUGCGCCGCUAGCAUAGACGUCCAUAUGCCCCGCAAUCUCCAUACAAUGCGCCGCUAACACAAACGUCUCUGUGUCCCGCAAUCUCCACACAAUGCGCUGUUAGCACAACAUCUUUGUGCCCCGCAAUCUCAUAACAGACUUAUGUAUAUACAUAUAUAAAUAACAGUUUUUAAUUCAUUCAAUUCAAUCAACCGUUGAAUCCUCUAUUAUCCUAUUUCCGGUUUAACAAUCAAUAAUAGUAAUAAACAAACAAGACUCUCAAACAGACUCAAUUCACAGAGACGGAUCAUGUUUCGAAACUAAACUUUCCAUAAUAGUAGUACUAAACUAGCUCAGGAUUUAAUGGGAUAGCCCUCACCUUAGCCAAUAUCGGAGAACCGGAAACAUAAAAGAAACCAAUGAUUGGAAAGGCUUAGACCGGCUUCACCUUAGCGCAUAAAGGAAACGAUCGGAAAAAGAAACAAAAAGAGACAGUUAGGGCUAGGGUUUACAGUAACUUCCUGCUCAAGAAAUAAACAAAGUCACUUAAACCUUUACGCAUGGGUUCACGGCUCAUGACGUUGGCUCAGAAAUUGGUACAAGUGAACAAUCAAACUUAAGAAACUUGGUGGGCAAGCAAGUGAUGAGAUCAUGAUUUACUUGCACGGGUCUUGACGGCGGUGACUUGCGGCGACUAAGUCAAUGACGGCAUGUCUCUCCGGUGGGCUGCAACAACCCAACGUCAAGAGGUGGUGAUGGGACGGUGGCACCAAAGUCACGGUUGUGUGUCCGACGUGACGAGGUGGCUAGGACGACAAGCAAGACAGUGACCUCGAGGCAAUGAUUCCAUCCUUUGAUCAACAUCAAUAUCAACAUCAAGAGAAGAAUAAAAUGGAGAGAAGGGAACAUGGAGAUCAUGAAUUAGGAAGAAGAAGAAG